rnacentral:rRNA from 1 species
AGCUUGAAGAGUAAUUUUAGGUGAGACCUGCCCAGUGCAACGUUAACGGCCGCAGUACCCUGACUGUGCUAAGGUAGCAUAAUCAGUUGGCUUUUAAAUGGAGUCGGGAAUGAAUGGAUUAAUGGGGUUUAGCUGUCUCUUAUGUGCUAAUUUGAACUUUUUUAUUAGGUGAAAAUACCUAACUAUAGAAAAAAGACGAGAAGACCCUAGGAGUUUUUACUAAAACUUUUAUUUGUUACGUUUUUGUUGGGGCGACAAGAGAAGAAUAUAAACUUCUUUUUAUAAUUGGCCGACUAAGUAUGAAAAUUUAAACUACCCUAGGGAUAACAGCGUAAUUCUUUUUGAGUUUGCGACCUCGAUGUUGGACUAGGAAUUUGGUGGGCUAGCCGCCCUUUAUAAUUGUUCUGUUCGAACUAUUUUUCC